rnacentral:misc_RNA from 1 species
AAAUUGAAAAUGGAGAUAAAAAUAUUUUAAUAAUUUUAUUGUAAUUAAUGAUAAAUUUAAUGGUGACCCAUUUGUGUAUAUAAUUAAAUUUGAAAAAUUAAAUUGCUUGUUUUAAAAAUAUAAAAAUUAAAUUACAGAUGAAUUAAAUUGUAAUUUAUUUGUUAAAUGGUAAAGGUUUAAUACAUCCUGCUCAGAUUUGAGAGCCAACCUAAUUGGGCUCGCUCGGUGUAUAACACUAAAGCCUUUUGAGCCUUCUCUUAGGUCGCACCUAUG